rnacentral:rRNA from 1 species
AUACGGAGGGGGCUAGCGUUGUUCAGAAUUACUGGGCGUAAAGCGUACGUAGGCGGACUGAUCAGUUGGGGGUGAAAUCCCAGGGCUUAACCCUGGAACUGCCUUCAAUACUGUCAGUCUUGAGAUUGGAAGAGGUGAGUGGAAUUCCUAGUGUAGAGGUGAAAUUCAUAGAUAUUAGGAGGAACACCAGUGGCGAAGGCGGCUCACUGGUCCAAUACUGACGCUGAGGUACGAAAGCGUGGGGAGCAAACAGGAUUAGAUACCCUAGUAGUCC